CCUCAUUUCUGUUUCCUCUUGAAGACACCAAGAGCCCUUCAAAACACAUGAUGUUCCUGCUCACAGCAUAAAGCCCAGUUCUCUUUGACCGUUGCAGGUUGGUUCAUCACCAGGGAACCUGUGCCUCCUCUGAGACUAAAGCACCACUCCAGUAACAGGUCUAAGGACUGAGCCAAGUGGACUAAUUUUUGGGAGACUCUGGAAAGCUCACUGAACAUUUUCCUAACAACUCUACCAGGGCUACAUCUCUAAAGAAGAUCUCGCCUCCCCACUGAAGUCCCUGGCCCGGCUUCCUGCAGUGCCACGCUCCGUGUAUUUGACAAGCUGAGUUGGACACUCCAUGUGGUAGAGUGUCAGUUUGUCAAAUACCCCAAGUGCGGCAUGUGCCUAGCAGCUCCAAGCCAGGGAAGUUGGGGUACAACAAAUAGAUGAUCAGGGGGAUAAAGAACACACAACAAAUACCAACUAAGCUCUCACAACUUAUUUUAGGUAACUUUGAGAGAAUGUAAGCAUUGUAUGUGAGGUUACCAGUGGAAAAGCCAGACAGCUCUGAGAGCCACAGCCCUGGAUGGUGUCUACAUACAUUGUGGGAGCCUGAGGGGGGCAGGGUAGCCUUGAAAAGGUGUCCAGGGCAUAAGGAUGAAAGUACUACUUGAUUCAUUAUUUUUUUUCCUUCACAUCCCAGCAAGAACACCAGAAGUCUCACACAAUCAUCAUGGCAGGGCUUAGAAGCCCAUUUUUCUGAUACUCAGUCUUAGCUCUAAAUGCACUUUGACCUUACCUAUCUCUCUCCUUUUCCUCACGGCUUUUCUCCUUCUGAGAACACGAUCCCCAUUUCUUUCUGGCUAUUUAAUUUCUUCCCGUAUUUCCUUGCCCAAGCAAAAUCAAGUUUCUGCAGGGACUUUUGAAAAAUUAACCUAUACUUUUUUUCCUUCAUUCUCAAAUCACUUCUUGCCUGAGUCCUAUGUACCUCUUUAUCUCCUACUGCCCAAUAACACUGCUUAAAUCAUUAAUGAUCUUUUUUAGAAUAUAUUUUUAAUCCCCUACUUGGUUUAUGACAAGACUGUGUUUCCUUGAUUGCUGUAUUUCCAUUCCAUUUCUACCACACAGGACUCUGGUUACAGAAAAUACUCAAUAAAGUUUUACUGAUUGAUUGAC